rnacentral:miRNA from 10 species
CUCUGUCCCUACUUUUAGUGCU